rnacentral:rRNA from 1 species
AUGUAUGCGUGUGUGCGCACCCAAGUUCCCUGUCAUCCACUCCCCACCUGCUCGCCCUCCAUCUAUUUAAACUCCCCGACCCUCCCCCCACCUUCCCUCGCUCGCUCCUCUCUCGCCCUGCACUUCGGCAUCCUGACUCCUCUGCUCCCCUGCUCCACCGCCGAUCGCCUCCUGCUCCUCGCGGCUAGCUCUCCGGCCAUGGCCUUCCAGUCCCCCGUCGGCUCCCCCUUCGACUGCCUCCUCAUAGACCUCGACGACACGCUGUACCCGGGCAACACCGGCAUUGGGCCAGCGCUGAGGCGCAACAUCGACGAGUUCCUCGUCGCCAGGUUCGGCCUCGCCGCCGACAAGGCCGCCGCGCUCCGCGCCGACCUCUUCCGCUCCCACGGCAGCACCCUCGCCGGCCUCGUCGCGCUCGGCCACGACGUGCACCCGGACGAGUACCACAGCUACGUGCACGGGAGGCUGCCCUACGACGUGAUCACCACGGACCCGCAGCUCGCGGCGGCGCUCCAGAGCAUGCCCCAGCGCAAGAUCCUGUUCACCAACUCGGACCGCGCGCACAUGAAGCGGGCGCUGGAGCGGCUGGGCGUGGACGAGGCCUGCUUCGACGGCGUCGUGUGCUUCGAGACCAUGAACCCGCACCUCUUCGGGGAGGAGCUGGAGGGCGAGGACGACGAGGCCGCCGCCGCCGACGUCGACCGCCCCGCCGUCGUCCUGAAACCGUCCGUCCACGCCUUCGUCGCCGCCCUGCGCGUCGCCGGCACAAACCCAGGCCGAACGCUCUUCCUCGACGACAGCGAGAGGAACAUCGCCGCCGGGAAAGCGCUCGGCCUCCGCACGGCCCUGGUUGGCAAGAGGGCGAGGAGCAAGGAGGCGGACUACGCGCUGGAGAGCAUCGGCGGCCUCCGGCGAGCCAUCCCGGAGAUCUGGGGCGGCGACGGCGAGCUCCAGCCCGACCACAACGUGGAGAAGAACAAGAGCAUGAGGGCCGACCUGGACGCCGUCAUCCAGCCCACCUCCAUCCAGGCCUGA